rnacentral:tRNA from 1 species
ACCCGUCUAGCUCAGCGGAUAGAGCGCUGGCCUUUUAAGCCAGUGGUCGUGGGUUCGAUCCCCACGGGGGGUG